UCUUCUUGUUCAACAUCUAAUUUUCAUUGACACCACUAAAACUCACUUUAACGGAGGUCUAGUGGACAAAAUGAGCAAAGAUGUAGAAGAAAACUACGUCGUAAGGGACAUCGAAAUCCGUAUCAUUACAGAAGAAAAGGGAGAAGUGAACCUCUUUCUUUUUUUUUGCAAUAACCCAAAAAGUGUAAAACUUGAUUGUAAAAUCAUAAAUGAAUUUUGGAAAUCCUUCAACCAUAGAAGAAAAAUAUUGAUAUCAAUAGCACAAGAACAAAGCAAGAACAAGAAAGAAAAGAACAGUCAAAUUGGUGAUACUAUUCUUAUUUUGUCUAACCUAUGCAUAUAUAAGCCAAGAAAAUUAUAUGGGGUAAUCAAAAUCGAAUAAAAUAGUUGGCAUCAACAAAUUACCAAUCUCAAAUCAAUACAAAUUUAGUAUCCACUUUCUCCAUGAAUUCGGCUAUCAAUCCAGAUCCGCUCCUCUAUAGUUGAACUUCUUAAUCGUUCUCUUCCUUGGCUAUCAAUCGCAACAUCAACGUCAACUUUCACCAUGGAUUCGGGACGGACUAGGGCUUAAGAAAGUGACAACGGCUAGAGUUUUGGGGACGAUGAUGGAAGGGGGGUUGGGGAUGAUAACGAUGACGAAAGGAGGGGUUGGGGACGAUGUUGAUGACGGAAGGAGGGGUUGGGGACGAUGAUGAUGACAGAAGGAAGGUUGGCGAUGAUGACGAUGACAGAAGGAAGGGUUGGCGAUGAUGACGAUGACGGAAGGAGGGGUGAAAAGUUUAUUUUCCUUUUUAUCUUUAUUAUUUAACUAGUUCCCGAACACGUGCAACACACGUGUAUUGCAACUAAAGCUUUGCAUAAAAAGAUAUUAUACUAAAAGAAGUAAAUAUGUUGCUAGCUUAGCAAUAGUACAAAAAGUGUUAGUCAAUAUUUGUAGCUAAAUCAAUUAUAUUGGAAUAAAUUUACACUCUUUUUGAAGGAGAAA